GCUCGGAAGCUUAGUUGGUAAAGCGUUCGUCUAACACACAAGAGUCCUGUGUUCGAAUCCCAGACGAGCA
rnacentral:tRNA from 1 species